AAGAGUGAACUAGCUAACUGAAAUCACAAGCAAUUUUUAUAAUUAAUUGUGAUAAGGUAAGGGAAAAAACUGAUGUUACCUUACUAUUAGUGUUGUCCAAAGCUGGUGCCAGAAGACUCGGUAAGACCAGAAACGCAAACGUUAAUCAUCUUAAUCAGGCGUAAAGGGUUCGUAGGCGGCUUUUAAUAUUUUUGUUUAAAAAAGCUCUUUUUUUUAAUUCUUUUAUUCUUUAAUUCUUUAAUUCAUUAAUUCUUUAAUUCUUUAAUUCAUUAAUUAUUUAAUUCUUUAAUUUUUUAAUUCUUAAAUUAAUAAUAAAAAUUAAAAUUUCAGUUAAAUAAAAAUAGUAAUAAAAGCUAGAAUCAUCAAUAGGAUAUGAAAAAUGCUUAGAGUAGGGAUAAAAUCCAUAGAUACUAGGUGGAAUACUAACGGCGAAAGCUUCUAUCUACAAAUGAUUGACGCUGAGGAACGAAGGUGAGAAUAGGAAAUAGGAUUUGGUACCCAGAUACCUCUCACAGUCAACGAUGAAUGGUAGUUGGUUAGUUCGUAAAAAACUGAUAACGAUGCUAACGCGUUAACCAUUCCGCCUUGCGAGUACGGUUGCAAAACUGAAACCAAAAAAAUUAGUCGUCUCGAAGCAAACGAAGUGGAGCAUGUUAU
rnacentral:rRNA from 1 species